UUAGUUAUGACAGACUCAUACCUAACUAUUCAGAAUUAUAUAUUAUUAUAAUUUCAGCUAUU
rnacentral:pre_miRNA from 1 species